CACGAACCGUACGAACGUUAUUCGGAAUUACUGGGCUUAAAGGGUUUGUAGGCGGCCUUGUAAGUCAGGUGUGAAAGCCCUCGGCUCAACCGAGGAACAGCGCUUGAUACUGCAAGGCUUGAGGGAGACAGGGGUAAGCGGAACUGAUGGUGGAGCGGUGAAAUGCGUUGAUAUCAUCAGGAACACCGGUGGCGAAAGCGACUCACUGGAUCGAAUCUGACGCUGAGGUGCGAAAGCUAGGGUAGCAAACGGG
rnacentral:rRNA from 1 species